rnacentral:lncRNA from 1 species
AUAGAUAUCCUGUUUAGAAAUCUGGUGUUUUAAUUAUCCAAAUAACGAAUUGUAAACGGAAACAUCUGCAGAUAUUGUGUCGGAGCAUAUAUCACGAUGUCAUUAAGUUUAUAUCUCAUCGUGAUUCGGUAAUUUUAUUUUAUUUUUUUUCCCUUUUGUUAAUAAUUAAGAUGAGAUAAAUAUCCAUAGAAACACAGAAUAAUUUGCGAUAAAAUAUUUUUCAUUCGACGUUCGAAAACACUUGUUGGCUUGGUGACAAAGUCGAGUGAAUUCGUCCAUCACGAGUUAUCGUCUAGAGGGCGUAUGCUGUUUUACUAUGCUAGUGAUGUUGUAGAGAACACAGCUUGUACUCCAGCAGCAUUGGGAUUUUGUGGCAAUCAUGGCUCAAGCUAAAGAUUCAGGUAACGAUCUUUAACUUUUAACUGUUUACAUCGAUGAAUACAUUCGUUUUAAAGCUAUCAAUUCACAGUUGCAUCCUUUUCGCGCUCGCUGUUUUGCAUAAAUUUUGCAUUGCGUUUUCAUUCUCUUGGUUCCAGAUUUAUGAGUGUUUCUUGAUGAAUUUUAAGUUUUGGGUUAUUUUUUUUUUCUUCUCGAUUUUCUGUUUUCUUAAACGUAUCGAUCUGCAUUUUUAUCGAAGUAUCGGUAAUGUUUAUCAUUGGGAGAUGGUAUUUGGAUCCGACCUUGGAUGAAAAACUUUAGAAUUCUAACUGGCAUCUGGGAUAAAUUCCAAAUAUAAACGGCUGGCUGUAUCCAUCAUUGAAAGAAAGUGUUAAAUUUCAUUCGACGAAACGUUUUGUAGAGAAUAAUUUAAGAAUUUUUCGAUAUCAAACUUUACGAUUGUGAGACGUAGAUCAAAGUCUGCAUUCUGUUAUCUUAUAAUUGUUCCUUCGAGUAUUAAAAACUUUAUUGCUAUCUACUUUUAAUCAGUCUUAUCAGCACGCUGACGACAAAAAUGCUCGCAAGUAGUAUUCGAUCGCCGGAAUUACUAGCAAAAAAUACUUUUUGAAUGUUUUGCUGGAAAACAUGAGCGUGCGAACGUAAGAUUCUACUUUGACUGUCUCACGUUUUCGCGACGCCGCUGGCAUAUAUUAAAUGAUGAUAAUAUAUGAUCAUAUGACAUAAUAUGCAUUAUAUAAUGAAAUAGAUGUUAAUAUCAUUCACAUGCGUAUUUAGCGUUUAUUUUAUCGAGCACGAAAUAAGUGUUCAGGCACUAACGCGCGCCGUAGCGCGACUUAUUAUUCAUAGACGCGUCGCGCUAGAAUCGCACGCGAAUACUCCUGGCAGUCAAAAUAGAAUCCUACCCGAACGGCGGCUUGAAAGCUUACGAUAUUUACUUUAAAUAGUUCUUACAUCUCGAUAUAUUUCAAUAAAUAAAUUAUAUUUAGACACGAUGAUUCGCUUAUUAAACUCGGAACGUUAAACUCGAUAAACAUGAUUCAAACAGUUAAUAUGCGAUGAUGAUGAUGACGAAAAGGUCGAUGUUAGGAAAGACUUGAUCGACUGUCAAAACUGUUUCACAAAAAUAAUUUGCAACAUCAGAACGCGAAUAUGAUACGACAUGAUCGCAGAUGAUAUAAAAUUUAUUCGCUUUUUAAAGAUUGAAUAACAGCAUCAAAACACAUGGCAACAUUCCAAUAAAAUAUUAAAAAUUAAUUUAUCCGUGCGAUCUUAUAGUCGUCGAUAAAUGUCAUGUCUCCAUCUUGAUCUCGUUUCCCAGUCCUCUAUUCUGACUUAUUAUAUAAAAUGUAAAACUGAGAUACUGACUACUGACUAGGUCGUCCUAAAAAAUAAUGUUAUUUGUAGCAUUAAGUUUUGAAAGGAUAUAAACCACUUGCUAAUUUAAUCAAGUAUACACUGCAUAGAAC